rnacentral:rRNA from 1 species
UACGAAGGGGGCUAGCGUUGUUCGGAAUUACUGGGCGUAAAGGGCGCGUAGGCGGUGUGUCAAGUCAGGCGUGAAAGCCCUGGGCUCAACCCAGGAAGUGCACUCGAAACUGGCGGGCUUGAAUAUGGAAGAGGGUCGCGGAAUUCCCGGUGUAGAGGUGAAAUUCGUAGAUAUCGGGAGGAACACCAGUGGCGAAGGCGGCGACCUGGGCCAAUAUUGACGCUGAGGUGCGAAAGCGUGGGGAGCAAACAGG